AGCGAACGCUGGCGGCAGGCUUAACACAUGCAAGUCGAACGGGCUUCUUCGGAAGUCGGUGGCAGACGGGUGAGUAACACGGGGGAACGUGCCCUUCGGUUCGGAAUAACUCAGGGAAACUUGAGCUAAUACCGGAUACGCCCUUCUGGGGAAAGGUUGACUGCCGAAGGAUCGGCCCGCGUCUGAUUGGCUUGGUGGUUGGGUAACCGCCUACCAAGGCGACGAUCAGUAGCUGGUCUGAGAGGAUGAUCAGCCACACUGGGGCUGAGACACAGCCCAGACUCCUACGGAGAGCAGGAGUGGGGAAUAUAGGAGAAUGGGGGCAGGCCUGAUCCAGCCAUGCCGGGUGAGUGAUGAAGGCCUUAGGGUUGUAAAGCUCUUUUGUCCGGGACGAUAAUGACGGUACCGGAAGAAUAAGCCCCGGCUAACUUCGUG
rnacentral:rRNA from 1 species